GACGAACGCUGGCGGCGUGCUUGACACAUGCAAGUCGAACGGAAAGGCCUGCUUUCCCUUGUGGAUUGCGGGUACUCGAGUGGCGAACGGGUGAGUAACACGUGAGUGAUCUGCCCCCAACUUGGGUAUAAGCCUGGGAAACUGGGUCUAAUUCCCGAUAGGACUGCAGGGUGGUGCCUGUGGUGGAAAACGAUUUUCUAGUGGUUGGGGAUGAGCUCGCGGCCUAUCAGCUUGUUGGUGGGGUAAUGGCCUACCAAGGCGGCGACGGGUAGCCGGCCUGAGAGGGUGGACGGCCACAUUGGGACUGAGAUACGGCCCAGACUCCUACGGGAGGCAGCAGUGGGGAAUAUUGCACAACGGGCGGAAGCCUGAUGCAGCGACGCCGCGUGGGGGAUGACGGCCUUCGGGUUGUAAACUCCUUUCGACCGCGAGGAAGCCACCUGGUUGGAAGGGUGGUGACGGUAGUGGUAGAAGAAGCACCGGCUAACUACGUG
rnacentral:rRNA from 1 species